AUUAAAUGAAAUAACAAACAAAAAUGGUUAAUAAGCAGCCUGGAAUAGUUCUACUUUGGUUUACAAAAAAGGGGUUGCCUGAAGUAUGUGUUAUGUUCUCAUUCACAAAUGAUCGUAUUAAGGAUAAAAAGGAGUAUUCCAUGAUCUUUUUGAUAUAAAGCCAGCACUCGUUUUAUGUUCUUUUUGAAGGAAAACGGAUUUUUUAACUAUCUGCUGCCAAAGAGAUUGCUUCAUAAUAAAAGGUAAGCCAACUGGAUUAACAUGUAAUUAAUAUAUUAUUUGAACUCAAUUAUAAGCUAAAUGGAAAAUAAAUAAAGAAAUCCUAAAAAAA